GAUGAACGCUAGCGGCAAGCUUAAUACAUGCAAGUCGAGGGGCAACAUGACUGUAGCAAUACAGUUGAUGGCGACCGGCAAACGGGUGCGGAACACGUACAGAACCUUCCUUCGAGCGGGGAAUAGCCCAGAGAAAUUUGGAUUAAUACCCCAUAGUAUUACGGAGUGGCAUCGCUUUGUAAUUAAAGAUUUAUCACUUGAAGAUGGCUGUGCGGCUGAUUAGAUAGUUGGCAGGGUAACGGCCUACCAAGUCUACGAUCAGUAACUGGUGUGAGAGCACGACCAGUCACACGGGCACUGAGACACGGGCCCGACUCCUACGGGAGGCAGCAGUAAGGAAUAUUGGUCAAUGGACGAAAGUCUGAACCAGCUAUGCCGCGUGGAGGAUGAAGGCCCUCUGGGUUGUAAACUUCUUUUAUAUGGGACGAAAAAGGGCCUUUCUAGGUCAACUGACGGUACCAUGUGAAUAAGCACCGGCUAACUCCGUGCCAGCCGCCGCCGUAAUAC
rnacentral:rRNA from 1 species